GACAGAGGUGCCGAGCGUUAGGCGGAAUCACUGGGCUUAAAGCGUGUGUAGGCGGGCGGGCAAGUACCUUGUGAAAUCCCACGGCUCAACCGUGGAACGGCUGGGUAUACUGCCUGUCUUGAGCCAACUAGGGGCGAGCGGAACAGACGGUGGAGCGGUGAAAUGCGUAGAGAUCGGCAGGAACACCCAGGGGGAAACCAGCCGACUGGGCAUCUGCUGACGCUGAUGUGCGAGAGCGUGGGGAGCGAACCGG
rnacentral:rRNA from 1 species